UGCAUAGAUAUACUUAUGUGAGUAGUAGCAGCAGAAUCUACUCACCAAGUAUCCUUAGGUACUGAAAUUAAAUUAACUUCAGAACAAACAAGAGAAAGAAAUAUACCCUUUUUUGCACGCCAAGCGUGGUAUUUGGUACGAUCUUUCUUCAUUUUCCAUAAAUCGGCUUUUUGCAUAAAUCACAUUCGAAAUCAUAGGGAGAACAGAAUUCUAAGUCCAAUGUAUGGCAGUGGGAUGGCAGUUUUAAUGAAAGAGGUAAUGCUAAACAUAGUGUGUGAUAAUAACUAUAACAUUUAACACAAGUGUAAGAAAAGCCGGCGAUUUCUUUUCCACAGGCUUUGCAUCUCUUGGAGUGAUGAAUCGAUGAAGAAGGCGUGGAUAGGAGAGUAAGGUGAUGGAUUGGAUCCACAAGAUGCUGCAAAUUCUUGGGCGGGCUUUGCAUCUUGUGGAGUCAGGAAUCGAUGAAGAAGGCGUGGCUACGAGAGUAAGGUGAUGGAUUGGAUCCACAAGAUGCUGCAAAUUCUUGGGCAUGUUGAAGCAUACUUGAUGAAGGAUAUAUGAGCAUGUUGCACAUUUGUAGUAGAAUUUA
rnacentral:lncRNA from 1 species